rnacentral:rRNA from 1 species
GACGAACGCUGGCGGCGUGCUUAACACAUGCAAGUCGAACGGAAAGGCCCUGCUUGUAGGGUACUCGAGUGGCGAACGGGUGAGUAACACGUGGGUGAUCUGCCCUGCCCUUUGGGUUAAGCCUGGGUAACUGGGUUUAAUACCAGAUAGGAGCCAUUUUUAGUGUGAUGGUUGGAAAGUUUUUUCGGUGUAGGGUGAGCUCGCGGCCUAUCAGCUUUUUGUUGUGGGAAUGGCCUACCAAGGCGGCGGCGUGUAGCCGGCCUGUGAGGGUGGACGACCACCCUGGCACCUAGGGACGGCCCAGACUCCGACGGGUGGCCACAGUGGGGAAGAUUGCACAAUGGGCGCAAGGCUGAUGCAGCGACGCCGCGGGGGGGAAGACGGCCUUCUGGUUGAAAACACCUUUCGCUAGGGACGAAGCGUUUUGUGACGGUACCUAGAGAAGAAGCACCGGCUAACUACGUG